ACAAAAUGUACUUAAUAAAAGCCCCUCGCUUACACCGAAGAGAUACCCGUUUAAUUCGGAUCAUUUUGA
rnacentral:tRNA from 1 species